AUACGAAGGGGGCAAGCGUUGUUCGGAAUAACUGGGCGUAAAGCGCACGUAGGCGGAAUGUUAAGUUAGAGGUGAAAUCCCAGGGCUCAACCCUGGAACUGCCUUUAAUACUGGCAAUCUAGAGACCGAGAGAGGUGAGUGGAAUUCCGAGUGUAGAGGUGAAAUUCGUAGAUAUUAGGAGGAACACCAGUGGCGAAGGCGGCUCACUGGCUCGGUACUGACGCUGAGGUGCGAAAGCGUGGGGAGCAAACAGGAUUAGAAACCCUAGUAGUCC
rnacentral:rRNA from 1 species